AAACCAACAGGGAUUGCCCCAGUAACGGCGAGUGAAGCGGCAACAGCUCAAAUUUGAAAUCUGGCCUCGGCCCGAGUUGUAAUUUGCAGAGGAUGCUUCUGGCGCGGCGCCUUCCGAGUUCCCUGGAACGGGACGCCACAGAGGGUGAGAGCCCCGUAUGGUCGGACGCCAAGCCAGUGUGAAGCUCCUUCGACGAGUCGAGUAGUUUGGGAAUGCUGCUCUAAGCGGGAGGUAUACGUCUUCUAAAGCUAAAUACCGGCCAGAGACCGAUAGCGCACAAGUAGAGUGAUCGAAAGAUGAAAAGCACCUUGAAAAGGGGGUUAAACAGUACGUGAAAUUGUUGAAAGGGAAGCGCCUGUGACCAGACUUGCGCCGGGCGGAUCAUCCAGCGUUCUCGCUGGUGCACUCCGCCCGGCUCAGGCCAGCAUCGGUUCUGGCAGGGGGAUAAAGGCGGCGGGAAUGUGGCUCCCCCGGGAGUGUUAUAGCCCGCCGUGUAAUGCCCCUGCCGGGACCGAGGUUCGCGCAUCUGCAAGGAUGCUGGCGUAAUGGUCACCAGCGAC
rnacentral:rRNA from 1 species